rnacentral:lncRNA from 1 species
AAUGAUUUAGCAUGAGUCGUGGCAAGUAUUUUCAGUUGAGGUUUGAACAUUUAACGUAUAAAGUUUAAACUCCAAUUCAAAAUACUUACCACGACUCGAGCUGAACAUCUAACCUAUGCUAAGUAAGUAAUUUUUGGAAUUCAUCUUUCAAAACAUGUUUUUAUACCAGAAAACACCUUUAUCUUGAGAUCCUUUAUCGAUCUUUCUCCACAUAGAUGCACUCAUUUGUAUCCCUCCAAUAUGUAAGCCUUUUGUAGAAAAUUAAAUUUCAUAUAUAUAUAUAUAGACUUUGUAUUCUUUAUGAUGUUUCAAUCUGAUUGCUGAUCGAAUAUGACAAAUUCCAUGAGAAAGUUAAAUUUUGGAUAGGGAAGCUAAGUCUUAUAUGUCUAUGUAAAGCAAGAAUAAUAUUUCAAUUAUAUAGAAGACUCAUAGCAUAAACGAAAAAUGACAUUUUUUUCGUAAAUUUGAUUUUAUAUAAUGUAAAAUUAUAAUCAUAUAUGAUGUAUGAGAGGUUAAAAUGAAAUUCUAGAAAGAUCUAAUUUUCUAUUUCAAGCUCCUCCAGAAAAGACUUAUUCCACAUGUGACACAAGACAUUUUAGUGCAACUUCUCGAAGCAGAUCAACAUAGAUUUAGUUAUCCAAAUUGAUAAUAACAUGGAAGUAGAUAUUGGAGGGUAAAAAACUUGGAUUUUCACUCAAUUUUAGAUAAUUGAUCAUCGCAUUCAAUUAUUUAACUUUGUUAUGUCUUUUAAAAGUUAUUCAACUUUAUUGAAUUGACUUUCCGGGUAUUAUUUUUUAAAAUAUAAUUUUUGAUAACUAUUUAAUGACGUGACAAUCAUAAAUUUUAAAUUUUUUUUUUAAGAUUUUACAAUCAGUAUUGAGGAACUUUUGCAUAUAGCCACUUAAAAAUAGCCUAAUUACUCUCCAUAGUUAUUGUUUGAUAAUUACAAUUCGUAGCUACAUGUUAUAAGGAGGAGAGAGGCGAGUGAGAGAGGGAGGAGAGUGGGAGAGAGGUGAAGUGUAUAUGUAUAUCGGUUAGAUAAUUGUAUAUUAUACAUAUGUAUUUGUAUAUAUGACAAGCGAGAUUGGUUGUAUAUAUGACAAGCGAGAUUGGGAGAGGGAGGAGAGAGGCGAGCGAGAUUGGGAGAGGGAGGAGAGAGGUGAGCGAGAGUGGGAGAAGAAUUUCAUUUAGAUUUGAGGUGAAAGAGUUGAAGCACCUACCUGUAAGCCAUAAAGGAAGUCUACAUAUACUAUAUCUGUAAAACUAAAAUUUUGACAUAACUAAAUAGUGUAAUUUUUGGUGAAAGCUGGGGCUCGGCGGCAGAAUUCUCAACAUUAGCUAAAUAUAUUUGUUUUUGUGUGUGAUAAUAAAAUGAGCUAUUCUGAAAUUAAAAAUAAUAAUUGUUAUAUGAUUAUCAGUUUAGGUAGAGAUAUUGAUGGAGGCUAUUAUUGAUUCUUGUGAUAUAAGUUGGUGAAAAGGCAAACUUCUGUUGUUGUUUGGGAUACUUAUGUGAAACAAGGUUCGUAACAGGCUAUUUUUCUUUGCUUUGUCAUUUAUGUUGCAGAUGAUGGUUCCGAUUCUGAUUCAGAUGCAGAUGAUACUGAUCUUGUAAGGAAGUCAAAAGCUAUUGAUGAUGAAUGAAAGGAAAAGAGAGGAGGAGGAUGGUGAUUUAGAAUUGCAGCUCAAUAUUAAAGAAGAAGCUGAUGAGUUCAGACUGCCAGCACCUGAGGCUUGCAUAAUGUUCAAGUUCUUGAUUAGAGGUUUUACUUGUCAGAUGGGAAAAAUUAUGAAUGCUAAAUGUCACGACCCAAACCGAGUCGUGAGUGGCACCCACACUUAACUUCCUAAGUGGGCGAACCAAGGAAUCUAACCCCAACAUAUAUCAAUAAUUCAACUACGAAUAACAAUAUAAAUGCGGAAGCUCAAAACUUGUUAAAGUAACCAAUCAAAUCACCCUCUAAAGUCAAUUACACAUUAUCCCCAAAACCUGAAAGUCAUCACAUCAAAGACAUCUAAUCUUCAAAUACUAAGUCUAAGAGUAUUAAAAACACCAAAAUAAAUGAAUAAAAUAGUUUAUGUCCGAAAACUAAGGACAUCAUGUCAUGACCAAGAGAAUCCAACACGAGUUGGAAUGAAUAGCUCACCCUGGAGCUUGAUAUGCUGAGACUAGCUAGCGCUGAGGGGGAGUCAAAGUCGCUGGUACACUCGCUGCACUCCAUAAAAGGAAAACAAAGAAAAAUACAAGUAGGGCUCAAUACGGGACAACAUGUACUGAGUAGGUAUCAUCGGCCAACCCAAAAUAGAAACUAAUAUACAAUGAAUAAUAGUAUAAAGUCAACUAUAGCACUUAGCAGGUGAUAAGAAACAACAACAUGAACAAGUGACAGUUGAAGCAAGUACGUAAUCAAUCACAAUAUCAAGCACACACACGAGGACUCAUGCCUCCACAUCACACUCGUUUGGGAAAUGCGUUCAUUGAGAUUGAGUACAUUAAGUUAAUUCAAUAUCUUUUUCCUUUAAUGUUACCGUGUCAGAACGUGACACUCCGAUCCAAAAAUAUCGUGUCGGAACGUGACACUCCGAUCCAAAAAAACUGUGUCGGAACGUGAUACUCCGAUCCAAAAAUAUCGUGUCGGAACGUGACACUCCGAUCCAAUAAUAUUAUUAAUUUAUCACUUAUUAUCAUCACUUUUCAAUUCAUUAAUAAUAUUACAUCAAGCCUUCUUUAUUCAAGGCAUCACUUCGAUAGGGAGGUUUUCAGAUUAUAAAUCUCACGGUCUCAGGAUUUUAGACCAAUCACAAACCACACAACCAAGCCACACAAUCACUCAAUCAAGUACAUAGAGAACUUCACAGUAUCAUUCAAUGCAUAUCAAUCGCUAUUAAGAGUUUAUCUAUCAAAUAGAAUAAACCAUAACCUACCUCCACCGAAGAACCGAAGUCAAGCAAGCUACUUUUCCAAUACUUUUUGCUUUCUUCCAUGACUCCGAACCUUUCCAAUCUAUCAAGUAGAUAUGCAUAAUUUGUAAGUUAACGAAUCUAUUAACACUCAUAUUAUUCUGUGUCUCUCCUAAACCCAAAAACUCACCUAAUUCUAUAAUCAAUUUAAUAUAUUCUUGAGUCAUACCAAGAUAACUAUAGAAACAUUGGAACAUUUACUUAAGUGCCACUAACAGUAACCCCAACUACGAACAUAAACAACUGAGAAAACAAUUUAACAGCCCCAUGACCCAAUCAAAUUUUAACAUAUAAAUAUUAACGUGUGCUACCAAUCAUUACUCUGUCUGGCCUAACUUUUCUCUCAACCUUCAUCGGACAACAAUUACUAUACAUAUGCCAAUUAAUACUCCCACUUUAGAAUAAAAUAAUGGGAAAAUGCAUAAGUACCCCUUAGCCUAUGCCCAAAAUUCCUGAGACACACCUAACCUUUACUAAGGUCCUAUUACUUCUCGAACUUAUUUUAUAUAUAAUUUUCUACCCCUUUUCGGCCUACGUGGCACUAUCCUUGAAAAAAAUGUCAACAUGCGCUGGGCCCACAAGACAGUGCCAUGUAGGCCAAAAAGGGGUAAAAUAUUACAUAUAAAAUAAGUUCGGGGGGGGUAAUAGGACCUUAGUAAAGGUUAGGUGUGUCUCAGGGAUUUUGGGCAUAGGCUGGGGGGGNNNNNNNNNNNNNNNNNNNNNNNNNNNNNNNNNNNNNNNNNNNNNNNNNNNNNNNNNNNNNNNNNNNNNNNNNNNNNNNNNNNNNNNNNNNNNNNNNNNNNNNNNNNNNNNNNNNNNNNNNNNNNNNNNNNNNNNNNNNNNNNNNNNNNNNNNNNNNNNNNNNNNNNNNNNNNNNNNNNNNNNNNNNNNNNNNNNNNNNNNNNNNNNNNNNNNNNNNNNNNNNNNNNNNNNNNNNNNNNNNNNNNNNNNNNNNNNNNNNNNNNNNNNNNNNNNNNNNNNNNNNNNNNNNNNNNNNNNNNNNNNNNNNNNNNNNNNNNNNNNNNNNNNNNNNNNNNNNNNNNNNNNNNNNNNNNNNNNNNNNNNNNNNNNNNNNNNNNNNNNNNNNNNNNNNNNNNNNNNNNNNNNNNNNNNNNNNNNNNNNNNNNNNNNNNNNNNNNNNNNNNNNNNNNNNNNNNNNNNNNNNNNNNNNNNNNNNNNNNNNNNNNNNNNNNNNNNNNNNNNNNNNNNNNNNNNNNNNNNNNNNNNNNNNNNNNNNNNNNNNNNNNNNNNNNNNNNNNNNNNNNNNNNNNNNNNNNNNNNNNNNNNNNNNNNNNNNNNNNNNNNNNNNNNNNNNNNNNNNNNNNNNNNNNNNNNNNNNNNNNNNNNNNNNNNNNNNNNNNNNNNNNNNNNNNNNNNNNNNNNNNNNNNNNNNNNNNNNNNNNNNNNNNNNNNNNNNNNNNNNNNNNNNNNNNNNNNNNNNNNNNNNNNNNNNNNNNNNNNNNNNNNNNNNNNNNNNNNNNNNNNNNNNNNNNNNNNNNNNNNNNNNNNNNNNNNNNNNNNNNNNNNNNNNNNNNNNNNNNNNNNNNNNNNNNNNNNNNNNNNNNNNNNNNNNNNNNNNNNNNNNNNNNNNNNNNNNNNNNNNNNNNNNNNNNNNNNNNNNNNNNNNNNNNNNNNNNNNNNNNNNNNNNNNNNNNNNNNNNNNNNNNNNNNNNNNNNNNNNNNNNNNNNNNNNNNNNNNNNNNNNNNNNNNNNNNNNNNNNNNNNNNNNNNNNNNNNNNNNNNNNNNNNNNNNNNNNNNNNNNNNNNNNNNNNNNNNNNNNNNNNNNNNNNNNNNNNNNNNNNNNNNNNNNNNNNNNNNNNNNNNNNNNNNNNNNNNNNNNNNNNNNNNNNNNNNNNNNNNNNNNNNNNNNNNNNNNNNNNNNNNNNNNNNNNNNNNNNNNNNNNNNNNNNNNNNNNNNNNNNNNNNNNNNNNNNNNNNNNNNNNNNNNNNNNNNNNNNNNNNNNNNNNNNNNNNNNNNNNNNNNNNNNNNNNNNNNNNNNNNNNNNNNNNNNNNNNNNNNNNNNNNNNNNNNNNNNNNNNNNNNNNNNNNNNNNNNNNNNNNNNNNNNNNNNNNNNNNNNNNNNNNNNNNNNNNNNNNNNNNNNNNNNNNNNNNNNNNNNNNNNNNNNNNNNNNNNNNNNNNNNNNNNNNNNNNNNNNNNNNNNNNNNNNNNUGAAGCAUUACCUGGAUGGCAGUCGCUACUGGUUGAUGCCGCAGGGUGUUUCUCUCGUUUAGUCUUUUUAAUUAUCUAGGGUAACUAAUUAUGAACAAAUAAAUAUUAAAUCUAACUACUUUUAAUGUUAUCUUCUUUAACCACCAACUAAAUUAAUUAUUAAAACUACCCCACUAAUUCCAUAUUGUAGUUACGAAUAGUCCAAAUACUCAUUUAGAAUCUAUCGAAAGAGUCUUAUGAAAUAAAAAGCUUUAGUACUCAAAACGAUCAAACGGGUCGUUACACUAAAUAUGUCAUUUUAACUUUAGGAGCUCGAAGAAGAAACAAAUAGACCCCCGGAUCUCUCUAAUCUCCAAAGGAGGAUAAAAGAGAGUGAGUUUCUUUUCCUUCAUCUUCUCUUUCUGAAUUAUCUUUCUUCGGAGGAAGUAAGUUUCUCAUUCACAUAUAAUAAAAUAAAUGCAGUUGUUCGGGUGCUUUCAAAUUUCAAGUCAUUGAGGCAAGAAGAUGUGACAGGUAAGGAUUAUGUUGAUCAACUUAAAAGGGACUUGGGUUCAUACAAUGAUUUUCUCAUUGAAUCGUUAGUGGAGGUAAUUCUAAGUCAAAGUAGUCUAGAAUCUGCACCUUUUGCCUUUUCAAGUUGCACUUUCAUUUAAAUCUGGAUUUCUUGAUAUGUGACCUUACUGCAGCUGUUCCCCCUGUUGAGUUGAUUGAACUUAUUGAAGCAUUUGAAAAGCCCCGGCCAAUUUCUAUGUGGACAAACACUUUAAAGGUCAUGGUUUCUCUGCCUCUUUUCUAUCUUUACCUUUUGUUGCUCUAAUGGUUGACUCAUAGUUAUUGCGUCAACCGGAUUUCAGACUCGCAGACGGGAUUUAGCAGGUGUUCUUCUUAACAGAGGUGUCAAUUUGGAUCCACUAAGCAAAUGGUCAAUUUGGAUCCACUAAGCCUCUGUGUUUUGUUUGGGUUGACCCAUUAUUUAAGUAUCAAUUUGGAUUUGUUAUUUCUUAUUUUUAUAUGUAUCAUUACUUAUUUCAGCUUAUGCAUUGUUUAUUUUGUAGGUUGGACUAGUUGUAUAUGAUUCUCAAUUUCCAGUUGGUGCAACUCCUGAGUAUAUGGCUGGUCACUAUAUGGUAUCCUGACAUUACACUUUAAAUGAUGUCUUUGCUCUUAGUACGCAACUGUAAUGCUUAUUUCUAAUAAAUAACUUGCUUACAGCUCCAAAGUGCGAGUUCAUUUCUGCCUGUAAUGGCCCUUGCCCCUCAAGAGAAUGAACGUAUUGUUGAUAUGGCGUAAGUAAAUAAUUUUGUCUAACAAAUGUUUGCUUCAAUUGUCUAUCAUUGAAUUUUUCACCAUCCAAUAUGUUUUUAAUCCAGAUCUUUUUUGAUUUAUUGCCCUUUCAUAAUCUUAAAUGUAUCGGUAAGAAAUUAAAAAGCUUGAUCGCUGAAAGAGUUGUACGGUGCAUAUUUAGAUAGUAUAGGAAAAAACUAAUUGAGAGAAAUAAAGCAUCUUCUGUUCCUCUCAGUUGUAAUUUCUACUUUCUUUAAAUCAGCAUCUUUGCGUUGGAUAUAGCUUUGUCAGUCUUAGGUUUAACUAAUCUAUUUUUAGUAUCUUUCUUGUGAGAGGAAGCUAAAACAAUUUCUGUGAACUUUUUAGUUAUUAGCUCAGUAAGCAGAAAAGUGGAUUUUUUUUGGUAACUUCUGUUCUUCUAAAGUGGGAAAACUUGUAAAUGGUGCAGUGCUGCUCCUGGAGGCAAAACAACUUAUGUUGAUGCACUGAUGAAAAAUAGUGGUAUGUAUUCAUUUACAGUCGAUCAUGUUGUAUUUUUGUGAAGAAAUCCAUUUUCUCCAUAAUUCAUCCAUAAUUUCUGGAAUACGUAUGGUUGAAUGAUUUUUCAAUACAUUUUUCUCCCCUGGUGUUAGUAUCCAUUAUCUUCAUUUCCUUGAAAAAUAUCUUUGUUUUUACAUUUCUUGCACUGCUUAUUUCUAAUGCAGUGAACCAAAAUAUACUGGGUGCUUUCGUUCUAUUUUACUAUGCGCUCAUGUUCAUUGUUCUUACCCAAAGUAGUUUAUGUGAAACACCGUGUUCUAUUUUUGUGAAGUAAUCCAUUUUCUCCAUAAUGCAUCCAUAGUUUCUAGAUACCUAUGGGUGAAUGAAUUUUAAAAACAUUUUUCUCCCCUGGUGUCAAUAUCCAUUAUCUCCAUUUCCUUAAAAAGAAUUCUUAGUUUUUCCAUUUCUUGCACUGCUAAUUUCUAAUGCAGUGAACCAAAUAUACUGGGUGCUUCUGUUCUAUUUUACUAUGCGCUCAUGUACAAUUGUACAUCAUUCUUACUCAAAGUAAUUUAUGUUAACUUGUGCUGCUAAUCUGUUUGCUUUCUCUAGUGAAAUUUCUUCAGUUUUUUUGUUGGUUCUCAAAAAUCGGUUGUAUUGAAUGAACAUCUUAUCCUGAUGUGUCUUAUAUAAUGUUUAUGCUUAUCUUAUAAUCCAUGUAUCACAUAUUGAUGUCGCUUACUCACCUCUGAGAAACCUGUUUCAUGGUCAAUUUUCAUUUGCAGGAACUGAUACUUGCAGCAAUUGACAUGGUCGAUGCCAACUCAAAAUCAGGUGGAUACAUAGUGUAUUCUACCUGCUCCGUUAUGGUUGAUGAGGUAUCUUUUUAAACUUAUAUUUCUUAUGAAUCUUAUAAUAAAGGGUACCCUCCCAAGUGUUUGUAUGCAGAUCUUAUAAUCAUGCCAAGCAAACAUUUCAUCUUUUUAUGAAGCUUGUGGAAAUUGAAAUGAUUAUGAUUUUCUUACUUCAUAAAAGAUUAAAGAAAUGGUUACGGUUAAAGGGAUUCAAAAAUUAAUUGGGACUGACGGAUGUAAAAACUUAUGAAAGAUUAUAAACCAUCUUCUUUGAAGUUGCUGCAAGUUUGUUUCAGCUGAGAAUAUUUUGCCCCACGUGCCCCUUUUUUUUCCAGUUGAAAAAGAUGAGCAAUUCCAAGUCUGCUGCAAAAGCGUCAGCUCAGUCCGAAGAAAUACAAGAUGCUGAUUCCAUUGAGAGCAGUGACCAGCAGAAUGCUGAAGGGGAUGAUGACAAGCAUUCAGAGCAAGAAGGCAUUGCAAAAGAGAACGGAAAAUUGAAUGAAAAAGCAGCAGCUGAUAAAAAGAGGAAGACUAAUCUAUAUAUAAUGCUAGGUGAUGUUAUAUAUAUUGUAGUCUGUAUUCACUGUAUCAAAGCAAUCCAUAUAUCAAUUGACAACCAUAACAAAGUAAAUAAAUAAAACAUAGACAACUCUAGCUAGCUAGAACUCAGCACAAGAAAGAAGCAACAUCAAAAUGUGUUAGAUGUUGUUCAUGCAGUACUAGUUCUUUCAUUUAAGGUUCUCUCAUGCUUCAAUAGGAUCAAUUAGCACCAUAGAGAUGACAUCUUUCAAGUUAUUUUUCGAAAAAGUAUAAGCAUCCUCAUCUUUAUAAAAAAACUCUGCCACCCUCGUAAGAUUGAGCACUGGCAUAAGCAAAACUCUUGGUACUGUUGUAGGUUUUAGACAUCCUCUAUUCAAAUCCUUCCAAUUAAUCUCUAUUAUUUUCCUUAUCUCCAUGUAAGCUUCUUCUGUUGUUGCACCAUGCUCAUUCAUGUAACAUUCGAUACCCGAAGCUACAUCUCCUCUUUCCACCUCUAUCUGUAUCCAUAAUAUAAUUAGACAAACAAGUUAAAAUAAUAAGAAAUAUUACUUCAUAUUCAAUUUGUAUGUCACACUUAGCUUCCUAUUAAUCCUUGAGUUAUUAUUUACGCGUACAAUAUAAUACCUCAUGUGUUACGAGAUCAUUCAGUAAUCUUGCAAUGAUACACGAAGCUAUUUGACUCGAAGGUUCAUUCGAUAUCCAAUCAAACGCGUCCUUAGUUGCUGCAUCUCCCAUGCCUAACCAAGAAGUAGUGGCAAGCAAUAGGUAAGUACUAGAUGGAAUUCCAUUCUUUAUAUACUGUUCCAUUGUUGGCACAUCCUUCGCAUGAUACCAUUUGGCCUCUUGGAAGUAAGCCUUCAACAACUUUUUCAUCUGAAAAAAGUAACAAACUUUAAAUUCCGACUCCCUCUCUGACUAUAUUUUCAUCAAUCAGUAAUAAUUCUUAAUUACCUCAUUUAUGGAAUAUUUGACUCGGAAUGUCUUAUUUCCAAGAUUUUCCAAUUCUCUCUCUGUUUCAUUGUAAACUUGUAGAAGAGCACGGUAGGAGAGUUUCAUAUAUGGCGGUAAUUGUUCUGAAGCAUCAAUGUCCCACCUACACAUAUAUAUUUGCAAAAUUGCUUAUAGUAGUGAAUUAAUGGUUCAUUUUUUUUUCUCCACCUAGCUAAUUAUUUUUAAAAGUGUUGUAAUAAGCUAUUGAUUGACGUGAGAAAAGAAUUUAAACCUUUCAAUUGCCGUUGUGAGGAGAGUAAGUUCAUCAAGUGUACCAUAGGUAUCGUAAGUGUCAUCCAUAAUAGAACAGAAGCACAACACUUUGGUUAAUAUUUUCCUUGCAACACUAUAUUGAGGCACAAAGUAUACACCUAAACUCCAAAAGUAUAAUUCAACCACUCUAUCUCUUGCAAAAGGUAGUGCCUGCGCGAUUUCUGAUUCUUUCCACCACCUAAAAUGUAAAGAGGAAAUUAUAUUUGCAAGAUUUAAUUAUACAGGAAACUAUAUAAGUUAAAUUGGUUGAUAUGAUUAAAAUAGUGAAUGUGUAACUUGUCAAUUACCUUGUGAUAUCACAUAGCUCCUUUUUGUGCAGCCUUUGUAAGAUGUUGAAGUCCAAUUUAGCAAAAUUUAGUAACAUUUCAUUGUGUGAUUCAUCUUCUUGGUAAAAUGAUAUGUAUUUCCUCGUUCCUACCCUCACUAUAAUAUUGUUGAUUGGAAAUUUCAGUGCGUUACUGACUUGAGUCGCAAGGGGAUCGCUCAAAUUAGGCAAAAUUAGCUUCAAAUGAGUAGUGGUGAAAUUAAUUGCUUCAUCCAGAAUUUCUUCAUCAUGUACUCUGAAUUGCGCUGCCUCGUACAAGCUUAAUAAUCCUUGUACGUUGCUGGUCAGUGCUUCCUUGUAAUUUCCUUGCUCGUUAAUGAAUUUCCUAAAAGCAUCUGCUCAAAAACAUAUAAGUGACCUGAUUAUGCAAAUAUUUUUUCACCAACAACUUAAAAACUCAUCGCAUAAUGUCUAGUUAAUAUAUGUUUGGGGGGGGGGGGGUACGUACCCGAUGAGACAUAAUAACCUUGUUGCCUAAGUAAUCGAAAGCUUAGAGCAACAGCAUGAAGGUCACUUUCACCAAAUUCACCAAUCCAUUCUUCAUAAUCAUUAAAGAUUUCACUCAAUGAUUGCUCAAUAUAAUGUUCAAAAUGGUAUGCCACUCCAAGCAAUUGGAUUGUGUUUAUAAGUUCAAGUUUUUGCAAAGAUUUGGAAGGAGCCAUCACUAGCAUUUUUCUCACUCCUCCUUUUUUGGUCUUCAUGUUCCUUCUCUUCCCAUUCAUUGGUUCCCUACACAAGUAAAUGUCAAUAUUUGUUUAUAAUAUGAUUUGUUAAAAAUCAUGAAGAAUAUUCACAACAUAAAGUAAUUAAUUACCAAGAGAUUAGCAUAGGCAAGAAAAUGGUCUCCCCAAACAGAAGGAUGAUGAUUGGCACAUCGACGUGUAAUCUCCAUCUCACCACCAAAUCCAACCAUUUUUCUUCUUCUUUCAAGUUACUAGAUGAAGAGAGAAAAAAAUUGAUCAAAUAGGUGUUAUUUGAUAAUUAAGGAGCUCAAAAGACUAACUUAUAAUGGCCAACAGGAAGGAAAAUGUUUUCUAGAAAAAUAAGUUUUUGUUAGUGCAUGUUUGGGCGUAAAGAUUGUAAAAUUUGGAAGAAAGUAAUGUUUGUUUUCAAGUUAAAAAAAGAUAAUUGGAAACAUAUUCCACACUUACUAGUCACUUUUUAUUAGCAAAAUAUACAUAUAGCAAGCUACUUCGAUGCAAAACUGAAUUAUUAAAAGAAAAUCGGAAUAUACCUACUAAUUUCCUUGCUAGUACUUGGCUCUCUUUAAAACUAACAAAUUGUGUCUUCAAUGCAAGUAAUUAGGACAUGAAUCCCUUGCUAUUUAUAAAGCUUUAGUAUACCAAUAGGUUCAUUAAUAUUCCUUUACGUUGAUAGCUUCAUUUUUAUUAUUUGUCACAUCUGAUAUAUUAAGAAAAUGUGAUUUUUUUCAUAUAUUCCCUAAAUCAUUGUUUAAGAUCUAAUACCUAAAUAUCAAUUAAUAAUUAUUUAUAGUAUACUAAAAUAAUCGUAUCAAUUAUUGUUUUGUUAAGAAGUAUGUCAUAUUUAAAUAUAACAAGUGCUCCUCGUAUAAUAAAGUUUUUAUAUUAUAGUAUUUCAUCUAUUCCAUAUUAACUUAAUUUUUGAGAAUUUUUUCAUUGUUCAAAAUAAUUGAAUUGUUCAAAGUUUAAGAUCGAUGUUUAAAUUAUUUUCCAUAUUUGCCCUUUCAUUUAUUGAAAAUUUAUACUUUCUAGGAGAUAAAUUACAUUACUUAUAAAGUUAUAUUUUAUAAUUUCACAAAAAACAAUAGUGAAAAUCAUAAUUUAAAUUAUGUUUUUAAAUAUUUUUUAAAUAAAAAUGCAUUCACUCACAAUUCAGUUAAUAUGGAGUAGGAGUUAACCGUCAAUGAAAGGCAGUCGUUGAUAUAGAGACGUGACUUUAUAUGCUCUAUUGUUUUUACUCUAACAAGUGGAUUAAAUGCUAUUUUCUCUCCCUUUAAUUUAUAUGGUUUAUCUUUUUUAUAACCAAUCUUAAAAAAAUGACAUUUUUCUAUAUUUAAUAAUUAUUUAACUUUAAACUUUUCAUUUUAUCAUUAAUGAAAUGAUUUAUAACCACACAAAUUCCAAAAAAAAUUUAUGAGUUAUUUUUGCCAACAAGUUCCAAUUUUUUUUAUUUUAAAAAAUAAAAUGGAACACUAUAAUAUACACAGAGACAAUGGUUUAAUUUGUAAUCUUUUAUAAAGUUGAUUUUUAGUUUUAUGUCAUUUGUAUAAAAAAAAAAAAUAUACAUACAAAAAACUGAAACAAUCAUUUUCUUCGUUUCAGUUGUAUAAGUAGUAAUAAGAAAUUAUGUUCUUCAUGUGGUGUAAAAUCUGGUACACAAUAGGAACAUUAAAAUAUUUAAUUUCACUAUUUUAUUUUAAAUGGCUUUUUCCUUCUUCUUAUUUAACAAUUUUAAGAAAAGGAUACCUUAUUUUUAAAACUUACAGUCAAUAAAAAGAAACAAAAUAUAAGCCAUGUACAAAUUGAAGAAAAUAUUAAAACUAGUUUAAGGACAUGAUUGAAGAUAAGAACAUGGUCAAACCGUCAAAUUCAGAAAAGAAAUUAGAAUUUUAAUUUUAUGAAUUUUAAAUUUUAUAAUAAUAAAUUUAAAUAUGAUAGCAAUUAAUAGCCGCAGUUCAACAAGUGGAACAAAUGGUGUUGAUAUAAACCACCCAAUGUACGAAGAAUUCAUGGAUUUUAUGAGAUCCAAGAAGGAAUCAGAUAAUAAUCCACCAACAUAUUCCACCAUUCUCAUGGAUGAUGAAAACAUAGAAGUAUUUGAUUUGAAUGACAAAAGAGAAGUUAUACUUCUACUUGAAAACGGUGACCUAAGAUGGAAAAAUGAAUCAUGGCAGGUAAUGUCCAGAUAUCUGGAUACAAUAUGUUAUACUACUACUGUGUAUAAAUACAAAAUGUAUUAUGAGAUAAUACUCUCUGCCAUAGGAUCAUGUGAAUUUCAACACUUCUACCCACCAAACACAAAAAAAGAUUAUAACUUUUCUAAGAUGAUUAUUAAAAAGAUCUUAGCACCUGAAGAAUGGGGUAUGAGCCCUUUGAAGGAAAUGGAUUAUAUCCAUCCUGAACAAAAAGUCGCAGUAAAAUAUAACUAUUGGAUUACAUUGAUGGCUUUAAUAAAGCAAUGUUAUAUGAAAAUGCUAAUAAGAAGCAUUCAUGGUUUAUCAAGAUAUGUUGUAAUAUAUUUGGAAGUAUAUUCCGAAUUGGUUCUGCAAACGGUGGACAUUAUAUGGUCCUUCAGUGAAAAUAUUACCUGAGUCAUAUAAAAAAUUAUAUUCAGAAUGGGCAGAUAUCUCCCCAAAAAUUAUAAGUUUACUAGAUGAUAAUAUAUUCUUUGAAGGAAUGUCAAUAAUGUAUUUCUUUAUUGAAUUUUCUAUUCCAUGGAUCAUGAAAUGGUCGGUAGAAGUUAAUACCACUUCCGAUGGAUUCCCAUGUUUACAAAGGACAUUUUAUACCAAGUUCUGGAGUAAACUAUUACAGAAGGACCAGGAAGGAAAGGUUCAUGGUCAAGAAAUUCUUGAUUCAAUAAAUGGAAAAUUAGCACAUAUUAUGAUAUUGCUACUUCAGAACCACAGGUGAUAGAGGAUCUGAGUCCAUUUAAGAAGAUCACAAGAAAACUUCAAAUGAAGAAAGGUCUGAUUUUGAAAUCAGAAGCCAUAGCUUUGAAUAUGGAAGAAGUGAAAAAAUAUUUAAUGAGAAAUCUUGAUAUUGAAAUCAAGGAUGUAUCUCCAUGAUAAUUGCAUAGCUGGAGAGGGACAAGAUGCUGAUGAAGAGAUCGAUAUUAGACUCUUUUACAAAAAUAUCAACAACAGAUAAAAGAAUCUUCUAGCACCAGCAUCGUUGUCAAAGGGAAAAAUAAAGAAUGAAAACCCCACAGAUAGCGUAAUGAAAUACUCUAAUAGAGUUGUCGGCCACAUGUAAUAAAGCCAAAAUACUUUUAUAAAGUAAUAUUAGCGGAAGUCGAAAGUAAUGUCGGCUAGUAAAAUAAUGCAAGGUCAUAUGGGUGUGUCGGCCUUAUCGUUUUAUUAAUGGCCAUUGAAAAAGUGUGGGCCAGUACCUUUUUGUAAUUUUUAACUUUUAAAGAUUCCUCUCAUAUCUAUAUAAGGAGAGGAAAUGUGUGUAGUUAGAGGCAGAUUUUAGAACCCCCUCUCUCUCUUGUACUCUAAAUAAUUUUCUUUGUAAAAUUUUCUAAGUAAUUGAAUAAAAGUUUGCAAUUUGGUUGAUCUGCUGGGAGUUUGUCUUAAGGUACUUUUCUUAUUUUAUUUACUUCUUUUUAUGUAUUAGACCCAAAUGAUGGGAUAAACUAUUUGUGUUGAGUUGUAGCAUACUAAGUUACUAUAAUAACUGGUGUAUGUUGCUAUCAUGAAGAUAGUUUGAACAGUCAGAUUAAGGUCAUAAAUAGAUUACCCAGGCAUAGUUAUGAAAAAUCGCUGCAUUGAUUUAUUGUAUUACCCGUUGGAUUAUCCAUGUGGAGGGUGGACCCGAAAGGACCCGGAUAGUAAGGAUUUUCAUAUACUUUUGCCAAGAUUAAUCUAUGUUCGUAAAGGUUCCUCAUAGUCUGAUUGUGCGAUCCGUUUUCACUUUGGUAUCAGAGCCAUGGAAUUAUAGUAACUAUAGGUGUUAUAGUUCAACACAGUAGGAAAAAAGAGUAUGAUAUACCUCAGCCCUUAGAUCUACUUAAUAAUUGGACUAUUCCUAGAAUAUCACCUAUAAUCAUAUAUCAUAUGGGUACUUUCGAGAAGCUUGGUCUCAAACAGGUGGUUAAAACCACGGGAGAAACUAUCACUAUUGAUAGUGAUAAUCAGACUUUUAAAUUAUUAUCUGAAAAUGAUUUAGCCCCUUAUAGGGAUAUUUACCGUUUUAUGCAUAUUGGUUUAGUACAAGUGGCCUUUAAGCCCCUUACUUUACGUGGACUUCUUGAAAGCUUUAUAGCAGUUUUACGUGAUGGUAGAAAUUAUAACUGGAAGAAAUCUCUUAUAGGAACUAUACAAACUCGUCUAGCUUAUGGACCAGUUUAUUUUAAUGUUUAUCCUAACUUGCAGAUUUCCUUGCAGGAUGAGAACUCAUUAAGUUCGCUCAUGUUAAAUGUUAAACAUCAUGGUUAUGAUUAUAUACCUGGAAUUGAAGUUGUUUUUAUUUGUUAUAGAAUUUAUUAUAAACUUUUGCAUACUUUAAAUCCUAUGUGCAAAAUGAUUGAUUUCAAAAAUGAGACUAUUUUGAUAGAAACUAAUUUUGAUAAAUCUAAAGUAGUCACUAGAAGACCUAUCAAGUGGGAAGAAAUUGAUUUUCCACAAGAAUGGGUUAUUGAAAGUGCUACUCAACCCAGAAAUAAUAUUAAUUCGGAGAUUUCUGAAAUUGAACAGUUGAAUGAUGGAACUGUUAAAAUUAAAUUUUCUGAUAUUUCUGAUGUGCAUGAUAGAAUUGAGAAUCGUAGCAUAUCUUCUAGAAUGACUAGAUCUAAUUCCUCUUACAUUUCUAAUAUUGAUUAUAUUGUGCAAGCUCCUUCUCGUGCUUCUACUUCUCAAAUUAGAGAAAGUUAUAAUAUAAAAAUUGAUAAAGAUAACAUUGCUCGACCUAUUUCCAGGGCUAGCUCAGAUUUAGAUAUAACUGAAUUUGAAAUGAAUUUUCCAGAUGGAUUGACGACAUGAAAUUUGUUUUAUGAUGUCUGACAAACAAAUUGAUUUUAGUCCGGGUUCACCGGCAAGAGACAGAAUCGCUAAAGAUUUUCAGCGAAAGAAAUGGAAACUUUUCAGAAAAUGGUUCUUCAAAAAUUUUAAUAAAAAAGAACAAUAUGAUUUUCAUGAAGAAUUUUAUAAAGAUAUUAUGGACUCAGAAAUAAAUCGAUUAGUUGCUUUUGUUCCUUGAUUUAUGUGCAAGCAUGUUCAUAACUAUAUUUCUAUGUUAGAGAAAGAUUUUACUCUAAGCAAUGGAGAAAUUACUAAAUCAAUUUUUCCUCCGCAACAGUCUUUUCAUAUUAAUAGAAAUGAUAAGGUUGUUAACUUUAAUGCUUUUUCAAAAUUGUUUGAAAAUGAUACUGCUUUAGUUACUACUAGUCAUGUCAAUGCCAUGAUUAAGCAGAAUAACUAUGCAAACAUUUAUAUGAGCAUAUUGGGUGAACAUAUUGUUUCUUUGCAUGAUAAAGUUGAUAAACUAAUCUCUUUGUUACCUACCAAGAUGAAAGGUAAGGAAAAGAUGGCUCAUAGUAGUCUACAACCCCCACCAGUUAUUGAUAAUUUCAAGAUUAAAGAUUAUUCAGAUCUUGAGGAUUUCUUGGCAAAGAAAUUCAAAGGUGGUAGUCUCCAGCCUAUUAAUGCUAGAGACUUAUCUGAAGGAGAAACUAGUCAUAAGAAGGAAUUUUUUGAUGGUAUUAAUAAGAUCUCAGAAAACUAUGCUAGGAAACCAGUCCAAAGGAUGUAUUACUACCCUAGACCUACUCCUCAAGAUGCUUUGUUGGAGGAACAUGAACAUAUUAUAACUAAUAGUUAUAAUGGAAAGGAAAUCUAUGAAUGGAACAUAGACGGGUAUACAGAUAGGCAAAUCUAUACAACUGCUCGUCAAAUGUUGAUGUACAGCACUAUCUGUAAGAUUAAUAAAAAUAGUGAUAAGACUAUUGCUGAUAUGAUCACUGCAGGGUUUACAGGUCAAUUGAAAGGAUGGUGGGAUAACUAUCUCAAUCAAGAUCAAAGGGACAAGAUUCUCCAAGCAGUUCAACAAGAAGGAGAACAGUAUACUCAGAACGCAGUUUAUACAUUGGUCCUGAAUAUUAUAGAACGCUUCUCCGAAAGAUGGUCAGAUAAUAGUGAGACUAUUAGGACUCUGUUACAAAACCUUAGGUGUAAGACCCUUACAUCAUUUAGGUACUACAAGGAUGUUUUCUUAUGUAGAGUAAUGGAGUUACCUGAGUGUAAUAGCACUCAUUGGAAAUCAAAAUUUAUAGAUGGGUUACCUACUCUUUUUGCUGAAAGAGUAAGAAAGUCUUUAAGAGGAAACAAUACAAGUAUAAUUAUGAGGAUUAUACCUAUGGAAAACUUAUAAGUGCCUGCGUACAGGAAGGACUUUGCUUAUGCAAUGAGAUAAAGUUAAACCAAUAGAUGAAGCGACAUCGCUUAAAUGAAAAACAAUAAUUAAGAGAAUUUUGUGAACAAUUCGCAUUUGAUAUUCCUAAACAAAAGUCUAAGGACAAGGAAUAUACUCCUAAGAAAAAUAAAUCUUCCAAAAAGGAUUAUGAAAAAUGAAAGAAAAAGAAAAUAGAAAAGAAGCUUAGAAGAGCUGAAGAAGGUAAAUGAGACGCUUCUAAGAGAAAGAAAAAGUAUCUCCAUAAUUAUAAGAAGUCGGAUACUUGCCACAAAUGUGGAAGAUUUGGUCAUUAUGCAAAAGAUUGCAAAGUCAAGGAAAAGAUUAAAAGCCUUGAUGUAAGUGAUAGCAUAAAAAAUUCUCUUUAUAAGAUUAUUCUUAAUUCUGAUUUAGGAAGAUCAGAAUCAGAAGAUAGUAGCAGUGAUGAGUCCUCAACAAGUGAAGAUCUUAAGGCCCUUCAACAAGAAGAUUAUAUAACUUCAGAGGAUGAAUGUUCACCUUGUCAACAAGGUUUACAGUGUGAAAAGGAUGAAGAAGAGGAUGAUCUUUAUAAGAUCUAUUCUCAAUUUAAGGAAUUAAGUCUGAAUGUCAUUGAUAAUGACAAAGUACUAGAACUUUUACAAAGCAUUAUUAAUGAUCCAGAGAUAAGAGCUCAGCUUAUUGAUAAAAUCAGUAAUAAUACUCUAGUUAAGGAUCAUACUCCUAAGGAAAUCCCAACCAAAGAAGGUUCAUAUACCAUGGCAGAGGUUAAAAAUCUUCUACUAGAAAGGAGAAAGAUUAUAAGUUCUCCUACUACUAUUAGUGAUUUGAAGGAUGAGAUUAGUAAUCUCAAAGAAGACAUUGUUCGUCUUAAAGAAAAGAAUGUCGCUAUUGAGGCAAGACUUGAUGCUAUUCAAAGUCUCCAGGAUUUGGGUAAUGCCUCUGAUUCGUCAUCUUCUCUUGGAGGAGAAAACAAUAGUCUUGAUUUUAUGAAAAAUAAUAAAACAGAUUUUUUGCAUAGUCUUAAAGCUUUUACUUCUCAGAAGUUUUAUACAAAAAUCACUUUGCUUAUAGACUAUAUUUAUAAAAGAGAAUUUAUAGCUCUUAUUGACAGUGCUAUUGAUUUAAACUGUAUUCAAGAAGGACUUAUACCUUCAAGAUAUUUUCAUAAAACUACUCAUAGUCUUCGUUCUGCUAAUGGUAGCAAAAUGAAUAUUGAAUUUAAAUUACCAAAAACUUUUAUUUGUAAAGGAAAGAGUUGUGUUCCUCAAAGCUUUGUUUUAGUAAAAAAUAUCACCAACCAAAUUAUUUUGGGUGUCCCUUUUAUAAAUGAUAUUUUCCCUCUUACUCAUUGGGAUAAUAAUAAAAUUAUUGGAACUUGGAAUAACAACCCUUUCAUACUUGAGUUUGUUACAAAACCUUUUACUAGAAUGAUAAAUGAUCUGACUGCAAAAUUGAUUUUAAAAAAUAAUCCAGUUAGUUUUAUAAAACAAGAAAUCAAUAGUAUAGAAGUUGAUCAUAUUUUACAAAAUCCUAAAUUACAGGAAAAAAAUAAUAUUUUAAAUAGUCAAUUCUCUCUUGAUAUUUGUGGAGAUCAUCCUAAUACUUUCUGGAACAGGAAGAAGCAUGUAGUUAGUCUUUCAUAUGAAGAUAACUUUGAUGAGAUUAAUAUUCCUACUAAGGCUAGGCCAUGUCAAAUGAACUCAGAAUAUUUAGAGUUGUGCAAAAAGGAAAUCAGUUCCUUGCUUCAGAAAGGACUUAUAAGGUAGUCUAAGUCACCAUGGUCUUGUACGGUGUUCUAUGUUAAUAAACUUGCUGAGCAAGAAAGAGGAGCGCCAAGAUUGGUAAUAAAUUACAAACCGCUUAAUAAAACUUUACGAUGGAUCAUGUAUCCAAUUACUAAUAAGAAAGACUUAUUGGAUAGAGUUUAUGAUGCUACUAUAUAUUCUCUAAGUUUGAUCUGAAAUCAUGUUAUUGGAAAAUUCAGAUAGGUUCAAAACUGCUUUCAAUGUGCCAAUGGGACAAUUUGAAUUGAACGUUAUGCCUUUUGGUUUAAAAAAUGCUCCAUCAGAAUUCCAAAAAAUGAAUGAUAUUUUUAUACCUUAUAGCAAUUUUAUAAUUGUUUAUAUAGAUGAUAUCUUAGUAUUCUCCAAAAAUGUGGAAACUCAUUUUAAACAUCUUGAUUUAUUUAAAAAGAUUAUUACUCAAAAUGGUUUAGUUUGAUCUCAACCUAAGAUAGCAUUGUUUAAAACAAAUGCCAGAUUCCUUGGUCAUAAUAUUGAAAGAGGAAAUAUUAGUCCUAUCAAUAGAAGUAUUGAAUUUGCUUCUAAAUUUCCUGAUAUUAUUACUAACAAGACACAAUUACAGAGGUUUCUUGGAAGUCUUAAUUAUGUUGCUCCUUUUAUAAAGGAUUUAGCAAAAGACUCAACUGUUUUUUAUGACAGGUUGAAAAAUAAUCCUAAGGCUUGGUCAAAUUACCAUACGGAAGCAGUUAAAAGGAUUAAAGAGAAGGUUAAAAACCUUCCUUGUCUCACUUUGGCCAAUCCAAAUUGGGAAAAAAUGGUAGAAACUGAUGCUUCAAAUAUAGGAUAUGGUGGUAUCGUAACACAAUAUUGUCCUGAUAAUAAACGACAUUAUAUUGUACAAUUUUAUCUUGGCAAAUGGAACACAGCCCAGAAGAAUUAUGCCACUGUAGCUAAAGAAAUACUGGCUAUAGUGAAAUGUGUUCUUAAAUUUCAAGGCGGUCUUUAUAACCAAAAAUUCAGACUGAUUGCCAAACAGCUAAGUUUAUGUUUAACAAAGACUGUAAGCAUGAUGUUUCUAAACAGAUGUUUGCUAGAUGACAAGCUUUGUUGGCUCCUUUUGAUUUUGAAAUACAGUAUAAAAAAGGGGAAGAUAACAGUCCUCCAGAUUUUCUCACUCGAGAAUAUUUAGAUUAAUCUAAAUUGUUUUUCUUUGACAGGAUGAGCUUAAGACCAUCAGGUCCCUCUCCAAGGAAAAGAGGAGGAAGGGGAAGAAGUAAUUCAGGAAGAAGAGGCCAUAUCCUCGUCCAACAUGGAAAUAAGAAAUUGAUAGCAGCUAAUAGCAGCAGUUCAACAAGUGGAACAAGUGGUGUUGAUAUAAACCAUCCAAUGUACAAAGAAUUCAUGGAUUUUAUGAAAUCCAAGAAGGAAUCGAAUAAUAAUCCACCAUCCUCUUGGAUGAUGAAAACAUAGAAGUAUUUGAUUUGAAUGACAAAAGAGAAGUUAUACUUCUACUUGAAAACAGUGACCUAAGAUGGAAAAAUGAACCAUGGCAUGUAAUGUCCAGAUAUCAGGAUACAGUAUGUUAUAUUACUACUGUGUAUAAAUACAGAAUGGAUUAUGAGAUAAUACUCUCUGCCACAAGGUCAUGUGAAUUUCAACACUUCUAUCCAGCAAACACAAAAAAGUUUUAUAACUUUUCUAAGAUGAUUAUUAAAAAGAUCUUAGCACCUGAAGAAUAGGGUAUCAGCCCUUUGAAGAAAAUGGAUUAAAUCCAUUUCCUGAACAAAACGUCGCAGUAAAAUAUAACUACUGGGAUUACAUUGAUGGCUUUAAUAAAGCAAUGUUAUAUGAAAAUGCUAAUAAGAAGCAUUCAUGGUUUAUCAAGAUAUGCGGUAAUAUAUUUGGAAGUAUAUUCCGAAUUGGUUCUGCAAAUGGUGGACAUUAUAUGGUCCUUCAGUGAAAAUAUUACAUGAGUCAUAUAAAAAAUUAUAUUCAGAAUGGGUAGAUAUCUCCCAAAAAUUAUAAAUUUACUAGAUGAUAAUAUAUUCUUUGAAGGAAUGUCAAUAAUGUAUUUCUUUAUUGAAUUUUCUAUUCCAUGAAUCAUGAAAUAGUCGGUGGAAGUUAAUACCACUUCCGAUGGAUUCCCAUGUUUACAAAGGACAUUUUAUACCAAGUUCUGGAGUAAACUAUUACAGAAGGACCAGGAAGGAAAGGUUCAUGGUCAAGAAAUUCUUGAUUCAAUAAAUGGAAAAAUUAGCACAUAUUAUGAUAUUGCUACUUCAGAACCACAGGUGAUAGAGGAUCUGAGUCCAUUUAAGAAGAUCACAAGAAAACUUCAAAUGAAGAAAGGUUUGAUUUUGAAAUCAGAAGCCAUAUCUUUGAAUAUGGAAGAAGUGAAAAAAGAUUUAAUGAGAAAUCUUGAUAUUGAAAUCAAGGAUGAUAUCUCCAUGGCAUCAGCCAGCCAUACAAAUGAUGAUGAUGAUAAUUGCAUAGCUGGAGAGGGACAAGAUGCUGAUGAAGAGAUCGAUAUUAGACUCUUUUACAAAAAUAUCAACAACAGAUAAAAGAAUCUUCUAGCACCAGCAUCGUUGUCAAAGGGAAAAAUAAAGAAUGAAAACCCCACAGAUAGCGUAAUGAAAUACUCUAAUAGAGUUGUCGGCCACAUGUAAUAAGGCCAAAAUACUUUUAUAAAGUAAUAUUAGUGGAAGCCAAAAGUAAUGUCGGCUAGUAAAAUAAUGCAAGGUCAUAUGGGUGUGUCGGCCUUAUCGUUUUAUUAAUGGCCAUUGAAAAAGUGUGGAUCAGUACCUUUUUGUAAUUUUUAACUUUUAAAGGUUCCUCUCAUAUCUAUAUAAGAAGAAGAAAUGUGUGUAGUUAGAGGCAGGUUUUAGAACCCCCUCUCUCUCUUGUACUCUAAAUAAGUCUUUUGUAAAAUUUUCUAAGUAAUUGAAUAAAAGUUUGCAAUUUGGUUGAUCUGCUGGGAGUUCAUCUUAAGGUACUUUUCUUAUUUUAUUUAUUUCUUUUUAUGUAUUAGACCCAAAUGAUGGGUUAAACUGUUUGUGUUGAGCUGUAGCAUACUAAGUUACUAUAAUAACUGGUGUAUGUUGCUAUCAUGAAGAUAGUUUGAACAGUCAGAUUAAGGUCAUAUAUAGAUUACCCUGGCAUAGUUAUGAAAGAUCGCUGAAUUGAUCCAUUGGAUUACCCAUGUGGAAGGCGGACCCGGACGGACCGGAUAGUAAGGAUUUUCAUAUAUAUACUUCUAUCAGGAUUAAUCUAUGUUCGUAAAGGUUCCUCAUAGUCUGAUUGUGCGAUUCGUUUUCACUUUGAUAUCUUUAAAUUUUAUAAUAAUAAAUUUAAAUAAUCAUAAUUAAAUUUUAAAUUUAAUAUUUAUAUAUAUUUAAUUAAUUUAUUAUUUGAAUAAAAUCUACUGAAUUCGAACAAUCACAUAUGAAUCACUAACUUCGUCCUGGUCAAAUAUCUAGUCCCUUUCAUCAUUCUCACAUUGUAAUUAAUCUUCUAGAAAAGUUGUGUACCCUUUCGUUUUCUUAACCCGCCACUAAAAGCCGGCUUGGUUGUAAAAAUUAUAUUUAUAAAAAAAUUUAUUUAAAAAUUAGUAUUUGUCAUGAACUUUUUAAAAUUUAGCUUAAAGUGAAAAUUUGCUUUUAUAUUAUUUUUAACUCUUUUUUAUUUUUGAAAUUCUAUUUAAAUACAUUUAAAUAUUUUCCGCAAUAAGUAUAAUUAUAUAUAACUCAAUCCUCAAUUUUAACUCUCUAAAUUUCAAACAAAGUGAAAAUAUUUGAAAUAUAUAGUCAAGUACAAAAAAUAAUAGUUCUAGUUUUAUCUUUAAUAUGAUCGCUUAGAAAAUUUUAAUCUUAAUGACACUUGUGUUUCCAAUCGAUAAGUAAACUCAUUCAAUAGUUUUAUUAAGUAUUUUAUAAGUAUGAAAUGCGGAUUGCAAAAAUACGAGACCCCGGGACAUUGGCUUCCGCCAACAGUGAACUAUUAAGGAUCGACCUAAGAAUUGAUUGAUGUCAUAAAUACAAGAGCUUCUAAAAUGCGAUGAAAAUCUGAAACUAAAAUGAUAAGUCUAGACGUAAGAAUAUCUAGUCUGAAUAAUAAUAAAAAAAUGGAGGAAGGUAUGGGCCACGAAUAGCCAAGCAGCUCACCACAACUCAAAGAUACUUAAGCUCUGACUCGAAAAGUUCCACGAGAUGCGCUUGGAUUCGAAAUGAAAUUUGCACCACAAAAGAGUACAAAAGGUGUAGUAUAAGUAUGAAACAACGUGUACUCAGUAUGUCUCAUAGACCGAUAACAAAGAAGUAAUGACAGGAGUAUAUAAGAAAUCAUUCUGUAAUAUUACAAGUCUACAUUGUACUUAUUAGUCAACUUUCACCAAAAAGGGAUAAUCAAAUGUCACGUAAUGCCCAAACCUCAAUGAAGCACACAAUCAAACAAGAAUAAACUAUAUGAUGAGAUGUAAUGCAAAACCAUGAGAUGAUAUGCAUCAAAAUGCCAUGUGAUCUCUUAAUCGUAUAUACAAAUACUUCUCGUAAAUUCUUUGAGAGUUUGUGAUCAAUGGUGCAUUUCCACGUGCCUGUGCAGACGACCUUAACGCACUAUCAUAAAAUCAAAUCAUCUCCAACACAGAGGAUCUCCACAUGCCUAACUCAUAAUCACAAAACGAUCUCAACACAGAGGAUCUCCAUUUGUCAGACCCUUGCUCAUACUCAAUCUCAUCUCAAUACAUAUGCACAAUAUAAUAUCAACAAAAUAGGAGAUGAUGCAUCUCAACCAAUCAAAUGUCGGUAUGACAUAUAAUAAUCUCAAUUAGCACAAAUAUAUGGGUUCAAUAAUAAGCACAACCACAUAAAGGAAAUCAAGUCAUGAAUAAUACAUCAGUUAAUGCCCACAUGCUUUGGCAUUCUCGGAUUACAAUUCAUCAUGUUAUAGUAAUAAACUUUUCAUUUGAUAACGCUUAUACUCAUACCAAUGUCCGUCACACUAUUGGUACAAGAUCCCCAUCUUUCGUCCUUAUCUAUUAUCUAUUUCAUUUUUAAUCUUUAAUUAGAAAAAAACGUCUAUCAACAAAGUCUGAAAGUCUUAACAUACCUCAAAGGUUGAACACACCAAUCCUCAAGAUUUCACCGUUCCCUUUCGUAAAGCUUUCGCACGUUCCUAAUCUAUCAAAUAUGCAUUAUUUGUAAGUAAACGAGUCCAUAGACGAGUCUAAAUUUAUAAUCAAGCAUGAAUCUUGAUUUCAAUUAAUAGGUCAAAUCUUAUAUUUCCUAAAUUUAAAAUCUGAGGUUAAGUCUCAAUUCCUCAAAUAUCAUAAAUCUAAUGAUAUUCAUAUAAUAUGAUAAUACACCUAAUAUUUAAUUAUAUAUACCAAUAUAUCAAUAUUUGAAUUAUAAUAUAAUAUCGUACAACAAAAUUAUAACUACCAAAGAACAAACUUAUACAAAACUAAGCUAUAUCAAGAACCGCAAUUAUGAAAUAUUAUAUACAAAACUGAAACUCAACAAUUCAAUCCUACCUAUCAUCAUGUCCUAAUUAUUAUCUCAUAAUUAUCCUAUAAUUAUUGUAAUAAUUACCUAAUAGUUGACCAUUUUUUAGAAACUUUCACAUAUAUAGCAAACAUAAAAAUCAUAUUUAUAUGUUAUAACUAUAGUUUGCAUAAUUGCGCUUCAUAGCAAAUUUUAUGUUUGCACUGAAGCUUUUGACUUGUAUAAUUCGCUAGAUUCAUCCAAUUUAUAUACAAAUUGUUCAGUUUUGUAUAAAUUUAUUUAUACAAUUGGAUAAUUUGUAUAUAAAACGUUUCAGUUUUUUCUAUUUUAGGUUUAGCAAAUAUAAAAAUCAUAUUUGUAUGUUAUAGCUAUAAUUUGCAUAAUUGCGCUUCAUAGCAAAUUUUAUGUUUGCACUGAAGCUUUUGACUUGUAUAAUUCGCUAGAUUCAUCCAAUUUAUAUACAAAUUGUUCAGUUUUGUAUAAAUUUAUUUAUACAAUUGGAUAAUUUGUAUAUAAAACGUUUCAGUUUUUUCUAUAUGUGCAUAUGUAUACAGUCAUGUUCGUAUUUAAUUAUGAUAAUUGCAUUUGUAUAGUAGAUAUUAUUUAUAUAUGUAUACGUGUUUUUUGUUAGGCUUGCAUGUCCAUUGUAUAUGUACAUAUAGCUGUAAUUUGUAUAUGUACGUGUUCUUUGUAAGUCUAUAUGUUAAAAUCUAUAUGCAAAUCUCUCUCUCGCUUUAUACAACACAAAUUAUACAUUGUAAUUUAUAUAAUAUGUAUUUGUAUAAAGCGAGAAAGAGAGAAAGACAAAAGAGAAUUUGUAUAAUUAAAAGUGUAUAGAACAAAAAUAAAUAUAUUUGUAUUUGUAUAUACAUUUUUCUCUCACUUUAUACAAACACAAACGCAUUUUAUACAUUUGUAUACCGAAUGGGUAAUUGUAUACCGAAAAUGGCUAAAUGUAUACCGAACUAGAUGGCAAAAAAAUAGGAUAUUUGCUGCGAAUUACAAAUAAAUUAAACUAUGGCUACAACAUUUAAUUUAAAUUAAUACUUUGCUAUUUCAUACAAUUUUCCCCAAAAAGUUUCACAAUAAUUAUAGAAAACCCAUGUUAACAGCAACAAUUUUUCAAUCCAAUUUCUUGCUGGUCAACCCCACACUAAUAAUGUCAACAAUUUCCCAACAUUUAUAAUGCAUUCUAUUUAAUAGGAAUUGCUUCGUACAUGUUCGCCAUCGUUUGACGCCGCACUAAAUAUUGUUGUCUAUUAUUUCUUCUUUCUUUUUUUGAAAAAUAAUUAUAAAUUAAAAGUGCUAAAUUUUACUAUUUUAUUUUUUUAUUUAUGGUUCAAGUGAAUUGACUCAUUAAAUAUUCAAUUAAAUUAAUUAUUUAAAAGAAUACUCAUCAAUUAUAUAAUCGUAGUUACGUUAAGCAGAUAGUUCAAAUUUUUCAUUUGAAAUUUACAGGAAACAAUGCGGAGCCAGGAUUUUCAAUAAAGGGGUUCAACAUCUAAAAAAAAAAAACACGAAGUUGCCGAAGGAGGUUCAACAUCUACUAUAUAUAUCAAAAAAAUUAUUUUAACCAUGUAUAAAUAAUAAAAUUUUCUGUCGAAGGGAACCCCUAGUAUGGUGGCUCCGCCACUGACAGGAAACGUCUUUUAUAAAAGCAAGAGUUCUACCAUGUUCAAAAUGAGAUAACAAAUCGUUACAUUGAUGAUAUUGAAAUUAUUUACGAGUGGUCGAGGGUGAACUAGAAUAAUCAAACUGGUCAUCAUGAAAAAAUUUAUAAUUUUUUGUGUCUCAUGCAAUUAAUGCAAGUCGCGUGAAAUUUUAUUUUAUUUUAUUUCUUAAAUUAGUUUACACAAAACCUUAUAUUUUUGAGUGAUUUGGGUCUAUAAGUUUUGGGCCACUAAUUGUUGAAUACAAUAUUCUAACGCUGGCUAAAUAAUAAAACUAUAAAAGUAUAUUAAGAAAAAGAUAAGAGUUCUCAUUAACCGCGAACUAGAUCCGAACACCAGGUGAAAAUACCAAAAGAAGAAACUCUUACACCUAAUUAAUUCUUUUGUAUAAACAUCACGAAUGCACAAUGAUAUUUUUAUUAUGUUAACAAAAAAAUUGACAAAGCUAAUGUUUACCAAAUAUAUAUCUAUUGGAAAGGAGAUAUGCACAAAUAUGUCAAUGUUAUUUAAGUUUAGUAGUAAUAGAGAAAAGGAUCAAAAUUGUCCCUUAUCUUUGUCUUAAGACUUAAAAUGAUCCUUUUAUUUUCAUAUGGAGCACUAAUAAUCCUUCUUCUUUGUAAAAAUAGUGCAGUUUUAAUCUGUCAAAAAAUUUCCAUCUAUCACUAACGGAAGUCGCUCAUAUGAGUGACUGCAUUAAAUUGAUAUGACCAAAUUUCUCAUUUCUAGAGGAAGAAGUGAUUAUAUUGUGAGCAGAUUUAUUCAUUAUUCAUUAUCUCUAUAUUAUUAUGGUGAGCAGAUUUAUUUAUAUAGUAAUUAUAUUGGUGUUGUCUCCAAUCUUUUGGUAGUGUUAUUUAAAAUUAAACACAAUCAAAAGUAAUAACUCAAACUGACAAAAUAUUAUUGACUUAUUGAUAAUGGUUUAUUAAAUUUAUGAUUCCGUAAAAAUAAUAGCUUUCGAAAGGAAUAAUGAAAGGGUAGAGUGUGCACACAUCUUACCUCUAUCUUCUCAGAUAAAAAUAUUAUUAUCGAAAGAUCAUUUUUUUUCUUACCUCUACCUUUUUAGAUAAAAAUAUUUUUUCGAAAGAUCCACGGCCUAAAAGGAUUUACAAUUCAGUAAUGGUUUAGAUUAUAAUUAUUUUUGUGAAUUAUUAAUUUUAUAAUGAUAUAUUUAUGAUUUUUCUUGACGAGUAACGGAUAAUUUGAUUAUUAAAUUACAAUUUUAUGCCUAUUCGGUAAUAGAAAGGUGUUAUUUUAGACGUAUUUUUUCUGAAAUUCUGGAUAACUUACAAGUUUUGCUUGAUUAGAUCAAUAGUUACAUAUUAAUAAUAUAUAUUAUUAGGUUUUUCGUAAUCUUUUCAUUUGUACUUCUGGAUAUGCAUAUUUAAUUUAGAUAUUGAUGAUAUAUUUAACUUUAUAAUAUAUAAUAUUUUGGAUGUUGCAUACUGUUGAAUUGUCACUUAACUUAAUUAUGUUUCGAUGUUUAUUUUAAUUUAAAAAAAUAACAGUUAAUUAACAAUCAAUACAUAAAUAACCCGAAGGUUGCGAGUUCGAGUCAUCAAGGGAGCAAAAGGGGUGGGAGCUCCUAGGGGAGGGUAAAAAAAGAAAGAAAAAAAGAAAAAAAAAACAUAAAUAACCCAUAUCCUAUUUUUUCUAUAAUGAUUUAGUAUUUUUAUUAAUUAAUAAAUCAAACUAAUAUAUGAGGUGAAUAUUAAUUGUGAAUACCAUGAAUCCUACGGUAGGAUUCCUACUACUUAAAAUUUAUUCAUUUGGUGACCUCAAUGAUUAAUCUUUACCAUCUUAAUGAAUGGACAAAUGGAGCUAAACGUGUAACUUGACGGAAAAUGUUUGGAAGAUUAAAACUGCACCAUUUUAUAAAGGAGGAGGACUAUUAGUGCUCCAUAAAAGGAUGAGGAUCAUUUUGAGUCUUAAGGCAAAUAUAAGGGACAAUUUUGGUCAUUUUCUCGCAAAAAUAGCUUGUUUGAUUAAAAUAUGAAGGUUGAGAGUUAAAACUUGGCCGCAUGCAAGUCGUAUGGAUACGAAAAAAUUCUUAUCUGAUUAAUUGUUCUUGACAAAAUAUCUAGUGAUAUAUUGAAGGGAAACCUACAUAAAUCUCACUAGUUUAGGAGUUAAUUACUUAGAUACACUCUAGUUUGCAGUAUUACUUAUCUUACCAGAUCUUGGUGCGUCCAGAUAUGUUCAGAUACGUCCGAAUACAUGUAUCUCAAGAUACACGAGGUCAGAUUUGUUCUAGAUACAUUGUAUCCAAAUGAAUUUCACAUGUAUCUGAGAUACAUAAAAAAUCUCAUUCACCUUUCUCCCAUCUCUGUAGUCACUCUCCUAUGUAUCUGGUAUCUCAUAUACAUGCGAAUCACACCAAAUACAUACAUAUACAUGUAUCUAGUGUGAUUCGCAUAUAUCUGGAAAGCAAAAAAAUACAUAUAUCUAAGUGUAUCUUUUUCAAUAUAUGGUAGAAAACUCUUAAUUAAUGGGAAGAUAUGUAAUAUUUUUAAGGAUAAACUACCUUAUUAGACAUACAUCACUACUAUAUAUACUAAUAUUAUCUUUACUUUCAAACAAUUACAUAUAUUACCACUUUUAAUAAUUUAUACCAUAUAUUAAUAUAUUAUUUGAAGAUACAAUUAGAUUAUUAGAUACCCACAUACCUUAAAACUAGGAUUGAUUAAUUAUCUGCUUAAUUAACUCUUUCACUCCAAAUCAACCACUAUCUCUUAAUUCUCCUCUCCCAUAUUUAUCACUCAAAUAUGUCUCCUCCUUUAUGAUUCAGGAAUUUCAUCGUACAAUUUCAUUCCAACAAUAGCUAAUCUACUCUCUUCUUUUCAAGAUAUCAUCACCAUGGCCGACAAAUUCUCUUGAACCCAAAUAUUAUUAUGUAUUGUUCAUUUAUAACUAGAUCAAAUCAAAGUAACUGCUACAGAGAAAACUUUAAUUCAGAGUGGGUCUUGAUUGUUUGUCUCCGGAAGAAAUGGAUCUUAGUUUUGAUUAUGUUAUGCCACAACGCAAAAAGGAUCAAAGGGAGUAUUGUAGAGAGUUUUUGUUUGCUGGUGUUCUUCUAAGACUUUCUUUGGUUACCGUGACAUGGAUUUGGUAGUACCAAUAUUACUUUGAUAUAGCCCUUGAAACAUGUGUAUCCAAUAAGUAGUAAUCUUAAUUAAGAUCUGAGUUGUAUUUUUAGUAAUGGAGUGUCUGGCCAUGUAUAUGUAUCCACCAUUAAAUUUUGGAUACAUGAUUUUUAACAACACAAUGAUAUUAAUGAUACGACAUAUACUCUACAGUCGUGAUUUGUUCCUAAAUUCAUGUGAUUCAACUACAUUUCAUAUUUAGAUACACAUAAUUAAAUGUAUAUGCUUAUUAUGUAUUCGAGAUACAUGUUUUUGGAUAUAACAUAUGNNNNNNNNNNNNNNNNNNNNNNNNNNNNNNNNNNNNNNNNNNNNNNNNNNNNNNNNNNNNNNNNNNNNNNNNNNNNNNNNNNNNNNNNNNNNNNNNNNNNNNNNNNNNNNNNNNNNNNNNNNNNNNNNNNNNNNNNNNNNNNNNNNNNNNNNNNNNNNNNNNNNNNNNNNNNNNNNNNNNNNNNNNNNNNNNNNNNNNNNNNNNNNNNNNNNNNNNNNNNNNNNNNNNNNNNAUCAAAUUAAUGAAUUUAUUAUUUUAAGAGUAAUAAUUUGAAAUUAAUCAAAUUGCAUUACCAAGAUAUACAUGUUUUUAUCUUAUAUUAAUAAUAUUAAUGAAUUUACUAUUUCAAAGAAUAAUAAAAUGAAAUUAAUUAUCUGUGUAUUUUGAAAAUCCUCAAUUACUCCUCUAAUUAAGGAAAUCAGUUCCAACCAAUUAAUUUAAAUAAAUAAAUAAAUUUUGUAUCUCAAUUUUAAAAUUCGACAGAUACUGCAUGUAUCUCAUGGAUUCAGACUCAUGUAUCCUAAGCAUAAAAUAUGGUAUAGGAAGUAAUAUUUGAAACUAUUGAGAAUCUUAAUAAUUAAAACCUAAACUAGUGGGAUUUAUGUGGUUUGCCCUAUUUUUAAAAGUAUAUUUGAAUACACUAAGCUGUUACAGUUGGGCCGAAUCUCAUACAAUUGGGCUGUAUUAGACUAAUAUAAAUAGGAUCCGAAUAAAGUCCAAGUCCAACAUAUCAGGACUCCCACAAAAAAAAUUAUUAGCAUAUUUUUGUUUUAAAAUGAUCCAAAGUGGUCCAAUUCAACUUUAUAUGAUUUCAAAUUUCAUAUCCAACCUUCUAAUAAUAUUUUUUUAAUAUAUUCAAUCUAAUUAAACCUGCAAAAGUUAAUGGACCCAUUUUGUAUUCUUCAAAAAUCAAGCUCAAUAAAACCUAAAUGAAAUUGGUGUUCUUCGAAAAAAAGUAAUAAACAAACCUAAACCAAAUCAACUACAAAUAAGUAAUGAGUCUUCAAUUUCUACACAUUACCAAGUAGAGGGAGAAGAGCCCGUCUGACUUAACUUAUUUUAAUUACUUUUAAGUGAAAAUAGUUUUAAAGCAUUUUUAGUUAUUCCGACGAAUUUAAAAAGUGCUUAUAAAUAUUUAAUUUAAAACUAAAAUGAUAAAAAUAAGUGAAAAAUCAAAAGUAAAAAAUUAAUUCAAACAGAAUCUAUAAAAUAAAAAGUGUUUAUAAAUGUUUUUUACCAAUAUAUAAAAUAUUAAAACUCAUAAUUACCAAACACAACAUGAGUUUUUUGUUUACCAAAUAUACGAAUCUUUUAUUCAAAUUGUAUAUAAUCACUUUUCGAAUCUUGCUAUCGAUUUUAUGUAUUAGGUUUUUGAAGUAAAGUGCAUGGAAUUUUUGUGUAUAAAAGAUGUAUGUAUAUUGUGUUUCUGAUAUAGUACAUAUAAUUAUAUAAAAAUUGAUGGAAGUAUGUAUAAAUUCUAUUAAAAUACGUAUAAAAUCUGUAAAAUAUAAAAUAUAUUGAAAUUGAUAACGAACUGUGCACAAAGGAAUAGAGCUGGACACAUGCUCGUUUUUUCAAAUCUGCUACAAAUCGUAGAAAACUUGUUAAAACUUUUUGAUAUGUUUUAUAAAUAUGGAAAUUCGAUCCCUCUCUAUUUUUAUUUUCUCCAAAUUCUUGCUUUUGAUUAAGAACACAUGUCAUAAUUUAAAAUUAAUGAUUGAAAUUUAAUUAACUAAAAUAAGUUAAUCAUUAUUAAAAUAAUUAAUUACUUUCUUUUUUUACUAGAGUAAAUUUUUACCGUGCAUGAAAUAUUUUCACUUCCUUCCUUUUAUUUUAUUUUUUAUAUUAUAUAUUAAUAAUAUAUAAGUUAAAGUAUUUUUUUAAAAAUUUGAGUGUUCAAAAGAGCCCAUGUCUAUAGACUAUACGAUAAUAGGUCCUUUAUUUUGCUUGUAAAAUUUAAAAUAUAUCAUGCAACACUUUUUAAUUUUAUUUCUGACAAAUAUUAUUUUUAAAUUUUCUUAAAAUUUUUAUUAUCAUUGGUUGAAGUUUACUUCUCAUUUUACUAUCUUUGAAUGAUAAUGUGAUCGGAAAAAAAAUCGAUGCAUGAGUAGUGCCAGCAAAAAGAGCUCAUAUUUUGGUAAUUCAUCCAAUCCGUUCAUAUUUUAAUGGGUUGGAUGAGUGAUUUUUUACAUGGGUAAAAUAUGGGUUGAUACCCAUAUUUAACCCAUAAAAAUAUGGAUAAAAUAUGGGUAAAAUAUAGAUUAGUCUAAUGGGUUAAGCUUCUAACUUUUAUUCACUCAAAAUUCAUGAUAUCACUAAAAAUAGUGUAACUUCUUUUCCUUUUUAUGUUAUUCUAAAGAACUAAUUAUUCUUCUCUAUAAUUGAAAAGGUGAAGUCUUUGACCCUCCAAAAAUGUAUAUUUUAAACGUACAUUUCUUUGUUAAUUAUAAUUAUAUUUUUUUAUUUGUUUAAUUUUAUAUUGGAUAAUAAAUGAUAGUGUAAAAUAAGCAAAUCAUGUAUUAGUAUUGACAUUGCUUAAAGUGCAUUAAGCAUGUUUUAGUCCUAAAAUGUAAAUAUUCAUUUACUUUGAAACUAAAAUAUUUUCAUCUUGUUAUUACAUAAAUUUAUUUUAUAUUGAAAAGUUAUAGGAUUUUUUUUUAUGAUACAAUAAAACUAAAUGAAGCAUUUUCAACAUUUUUCGUCUAAAAUGAAGACUAAAAUAUUUUCUCCAUAUUGAUUUCUUAAGUAAGUACUAUUUAUUCAUGAAAAUAUGGGUAAAUAUGGAUAAACUAGUAUUUUACCCAAUCCAUUUAUUACCCAAUCAAUUUUUAUCCAUAUCAAAUAUGGAUGGGUUGAAUUAUUACCCAUUUUAUGUUGACCCAUUUUUAACCCGCCCAAAUUUGACCCAACCCGCGCAUUUGCCAUCACUAUGCAUGACAAUGAUUUACUCAGGGUAAGAAGGAAUCUUUUUAAAUAUAUUUAGAAAUAAUAUAAGGCUAAGAUAUAAUAUAUAUCUAGAAUUGUGGGGUUGAAAAAAUAUUUUAGAAAUAACUAUAUGAAAGUAAUUAAUUAUUCUAACCGUGAUUAUAAUUUUACUUUGAUUAAUUAAAUUUCAAUCAUUUACUUUGAACUUGAUAUAUAUCUCUAAUUCAAGCAAAAAUUUAGAAGAAAAAAUCAGAAAAGAGCCCAAAGAGAAAUAGAUCUAGAAGCAGAAUUCAUAAAAAGUUGAUUUUUCCACAAGAAUUCAUAGUUUUUUCCACAAGAGUUUUCAUAUUGAACAAUUCAAAGCUUUGAAACUUAUAAGCAUACUGUUCUAGAAGAAAAUAUAGUUGAAAAGUACAUAAUUCAUAUUUCAGAUUUUGAUAAAGAGUACUUUGAAGUAGCCAAAAAAAUAUUUUGAAAUCAAGUCUUCAAACUUCUUGAAUUAGAUAAUAUUAUUUUAAUUUUUAAGUAUUAUAGUAUUUGUUAUUUGGCUAUAUUGAUAGUUUUUAAAUUAUUUGUUUAAAUUUUAAUACGUCAACUAGAAAAUAUAAAUCGGAUUAAUAACAUUACAUCUUAAAAAGAACUUCAAAUACUGAUAUAUUACAUUACUAGAAAAUAUAAAAUUGGCUACAAAAUUUGUGAGCAAUUUCUAGAGAUAGCUAACUGAAUUUUAUUAUAAUUUAUCGCUAUCAUGCUAAAUAAAAUUAACAUAAUUUUGUUUUAUUUAAAUAUAAAAUUUUAUUCAUCCCUAAAUUUUUAUUUUCUAGUAAUAUUUUUUUUUAAAAGUUCAAGGCAUAUUAUUAAAAGGGAAAAGGCUCAAAUAUGCCAUCAAACUUUUAGAAAAGGCUCAUUUAUAUCAUUCGUUAAAAGUUUGGCUCAUCUAUGCCAUUACCGUUUAAGAAAAGGCUCAUUCAUGCCACUAUUUUUUAACAGUGGUUUUUUAAAACCAUUUUUGACACGUGGCCAAUUAUAAUUCGGCCACGCCAUUAUUAUUUUUUAUAAAAAAAUUCAAAAUUCUGAACAAAAAUUGAAUUAAAAUAACCCAUCCAAAUUUUUAAAAUUUGGGUUGGUCUUUACUUAGAUGGGUUAUUUUAAUUCAAUUUUUGUUCAGAAUUUUGAAUUUUUUUAUAAAAAAUAAUAAUGGCGUGGCCGAAUUAUAAUUGGCCACGUGUCAAAAAUGGUUUUGCAAAACCACAGUUAAAAAUAAUGGCAUGAAUGAGCCUUUUCUUAAACAGUAAUGGCAUAGAUGAGCCAAACUUUUAACGGAUGACAUAAAUGAGCCUUUUCUAAAAAUUCGAUGGCAUAUUUGAGCCUUUUCCCUUAUUAAAAUUUAAAUUUUAAGUCAUAAAGACUUAAGCCGCCCCUAAUUUAUAGUCUUCAUUUACACUUUGUCAUUUUUAUGAUAUGAAAAAUCUAUAGCACGUGGAUAGUACCUCAUUCGACAAGCCUUUGUUUCUAGUAACUUUAAUCAUGUUUGUUUGUUAAGAUCUGAUCUAAGCCUUUACGUAAGCAAUCACGAAAGAAAUGGAACAACGAAGCUAUUAUUUUUAUUAUCAGUUAGAAUAUGACAAUUGCGACCAACUUUUUCUAGUCCCAAAUGGUAAUGUUCUAGAUUAAGUAUGUGAAUGAAGGAGUUUACUUAUUUUUUAAAAUUUAAGAGGAAUUCUGACUAUAAUAUUAUGUUAUGAUUCUUAAGAAUUUAGUGGCGUUAUAGUUUGAUUUGAUACAAAUAAGAAUUUUUUUUUUUUUAAACUUGUGAUUUAAAGUAAGUCACAAAUAUUUAUAUGACUAUAAAUAAUUUCAUUAAAAAUAAAAUGAAUACUUUAAAAUUAAAUUGUUAUUCGAUAAAAAAAAUGAGUCAUAGAAAUUGAGAUAGAGAUAGUAAUAAAUUUGAGAGAAGUAUUGAAAACACUCUUGAACUUGACGCAGAUUAUUAAUUUCGUCUUCGAACUAUUGACAGCCUUAAAGUAUCUUUCUACUUGACUAACUAAACUUAGAUACAUUUCCGAUCUGUCACAUGACAUAGCAUAGCAAGUAGUCUCAAUCUCUUGUAGGAGUAUGAAGAUCUUAAUAAAAAGCCGAGAGAAGUGUUGAAAACACCCUAAACUUGGCGAUAAUUUAGGAGUGUAUUUUUCUUAUGUUGCAAGAUCGAGGGUGUAUUUAAGCUCAGUUAAUCAAGUAAAAUAAUGUUUUUAAGAUUAUCAAUAAUUUAAGGAUGAAAAUAAUAAUUCAUGACGAAUUUAAGUGUACUAUUUUCAAUUACUUGUCCCUAAUAAAUUAUUACUAAUAAAGCGGAUGAAGAUAGGAGAGGAGGAUGGGCACCGGGUCCCACAUAUAGUGCAUUAUAAGCACCAUUAUUUUCUGAAAACAAGAAGUGAAAAAUACGAGAGGAACACCAAGCCUUCCUAAGGCUAAAAGGAGGUCUCUUUUGAGCUUUGAGGUAUUAAUUCUUAUUAACCAAAAAUCCAUCUUUAUCUGGAUAUGUUCAUUCUUGUUUUUAUUUACUAAUGUUGGUGAUCUUUUUGUGUGUUUAUUAUGGAAAAAAGAGAAGUCGUAUGUGUUUGUUUUAAUCGAAAUCACGUUGUCUACAAUCUAUAAUUUUUUUAUAUUUUAUAUGCUUUUCGUUUCAUUUUAUUUGUUUUUUUAUAUUAAAAAUAUAUUUUUUUAUUUGUUCUCUUUAGUCAAACAGUAGAAGUUUAUUAUUUUCUUCCAAUAUUAUCCUUAUCGUUAAGUAACACUACUAAAAAGAAAAUGUUAUUCCACUAUAAUUCAAAAUUGGGUGAGAUAAGAUUUGAUCAUAUUUAGAAUUGAGUUUGAGAUUAGAUUUAUAUAGUGUUUAAUUAACAAUAUAAAUUUAUCUUAAUUCUGAGAUAUCAGACCUUAUUCCGCUUACCAAACAAUCCAAUAUCAAAUUAAACUUAGAUUUUCAUUUCAGUAAUUGACAAAAGCAUCUAUGUAAUAAUCAAUUCCCUAUUAAAGUAUAAAUAGGAAGUCCAAGUUACUACUACUUCUUUUAUCCCAACUCUUUUUGGCUUUCUAUUCCAAUUAGAAUAUGGUAAAUUCCAUAGCACAUAUGAACAAUGUGGCCUGGGGAGAAAUUUUAGAAACAAAUUUUCACUUCUUAUAUAUAAACCAAAAAGUUUUCUAAUUAUUCGAACAAAUCUACAUUUUAGAUGCAGGUGUUAUUACAACUACUUAUGUGAUGUAUCGCAAUGGAGGCAACCAAAAUCUAUCAAGCCAUUACUAGAAGAAUAUUAUCAAUUUGAUGAUGAUCUAGAUAAUUCAUAAGGCAAGUUGGAAGGAUUCAAACGAAUGCAUCUAUGAGGAGAAAGAUCGAUAAACGAUCUUAAGAUAAAUGUGUUUUUUGGUACGAAAACAAGCUCUCAAAGGUGAAUACCAAAGACUAUUUGCUUGGGAUAUGUUAAAUGAUUUAGCAUGAGUCGUGGCAAGUAUUUUCAGUUGAGGUUUGAACAUUUAACGUAUAAAGUUUAAACUCCAAUUCAAAAUACUUACCACGACUCGAGCUGAACAUCUAACCUAUGCUAAGUAAGUAAUUUUUGAAAUUCAUCUUUCAAAGCUUGUUUUUAUACCCGAAAACACCUUUAUCUUGAGAUCCUUUAUCGAUCUUUCUCCACAUAGAUGCACUCGUUUGUAUCCCUCCAAUAUGUAAGUCUUUUGUAACAAACUCCUAGUCUCAAUAUAUAAUUUUG